rnacentral:lncRNA from 1 species
UGCAAUUGUACAAGUGUUUGGUCAUGCAUAUGUUUGUGUACUGGGUCAUGUUGGAAAAUAUAUUUGUUUUAUGAGACCCAGGUAAAAGAAUCUGACAGCCACUGAUAUACAGGCUGACCUGUGCUGUGUUCUGUGCUCCUGUGGAAUCUGUUCCACCCAGGUGUUUCCAACUACCAACAUGCUUUCUUGAGUACAGAACCUGUCCCCAUGAUGGGUCUAUCGAAUCCACUCUUGACCCCAUCCCAGGGAUUUCCUUAGGGUCUCCAAGGCCCCAAAACCUUUAGGACAAUCCCUAAGGACCCCAGAAUCCAGAUCACAUUCAGAGUUCUCUAAGAUGGUUCCUGCUGACCCAACCACAGAGCCCUUGCUGAACACCACAGAAGAGCUUCUGGAUUCAUUUUUCUUUCUUUCCAUUCUCCUGCAGUGCUCCUGAUCUUUCCUCUUUCUUGCAAUCUCUCUUCACUUCUACUUCAUGUCUCUUUUGCUCCUUAUGGAAAUACUGAGCUAAGGACAAGUGUGGAGGGGUCCUCUUCCUCUCAUCUGGGAUGAAGAGCUGUGAACCAAAUGUCGGUGCCCCACAGUAGCUACCUCCUGAAGGAUGAGGAAGACUCUCCAGGUACAGCUCAGCCUCUGCACAUUCUCCAGUCCUGGUCUAAGAGGGGAGGACUCCAUCCAGAUAAUGGAGGAUGGGCAUAAAAGCUGCCACAGGAAGAACAGCAGGAAGUACCUGGAUGGCCUUUAAGAAUCCAGCCACAGUCUACACAGAAUUCUUACAUCAGUAUGGUUAGUGGAACAAGCAACAGCCCCCACUGCACUUUGGACCCAAGACGACUAGCAUUACUCAUCUCUCUCUUUUCUGCCAUGCCUUCCAGAUUCUUGUGGUGGGUCAGCAC